rnacentral:tRNA from 1 species
GCCCGGUUAGCUCAGUUGGUUAGAGUACUUCCUUGACAUGGAAGGGGUCGGAAGUUCGAGUCUUCUGCCGGGCA